CGGCCAUGCACCAUGCUGAAUAUACCGGUUCUCGUUAGAUCACCGAAGUCAAGCAUCAUUGGGCGCGGUCAGUACUUAAGUGGUGACCACCUGGGAACACCGCGCCGUUGGC